UACAGAGGUCCCAAGCGUUGUUCGGAUUCAUUGGGCGUAAAGGGUGCGUAGGCGGCGCGGGAAGUCGGGUGUGAAAUCUCGGAGCUUAACUCCGAAACUGCAUUCGAUACUGCUCUGCUUGAGGACUGGAGAGGAGACUGGAAUUCACGGUGUAGCAGUGAAAUGCGCAGAUAUCAGGAAGAACACCCGUGGCGAAGGCGGCUCUCUGGGACGGUACUGACGCUGAGACGCGAAAGCGUGGGGAGCGAACAGG
rnacentral:rRNA from 1 species